CCAAGUCUGGUGCCAGCANCCGCGGUAAUUCCAGCUCCAAUAGCGUAUAUUAAAGUUGCUGCAGUUAAAAAGCUCGUAGUUGAAUUUCGGGACCAAUAUGUCGGUCGUGCCUCGGUACGUACUGGCAUCGUUGGUUUCUCCCUUCUGACGAACCAUGAUGUCAUUUAUUUGGUGUCGUGGGGAAUCAGGACUGUUACUUUGAAAAAAUUAGAGUGUUUAAAGCAGGCUCACGCUUGAAUACAUUAGCAUGGAAUAAUGAAAUAGGACGUUUGAUUCUAUUUUGUUGGUUUCUAGGAUCGACGUAAUGAUUAAUAGGGAUAGUUGGGGGCAUUAGUAUUCAAUUGUCAGAGGUGAAAUUCUUGGAUUUAUUGAAGACUAACUACUGCGAAAGCAUUUGCCAAGGAUGUUUUCAUUAAUCAAGAACGAAAGUUAGGGGAUCGAAGACGAUCAGAUACCGUCGUAGUCUUAACCAUAAACUAUGCCGACUAGGGAUCGGAUGAUGUUAAUU
rnacentral:rRNA from 1 species